AACGGCCGUACCAUGCUGAAUAUACCGGUUCUCGUUAGAUCACCGAAGUCAAGCAUCAUUGGGCGCGGUCAGUACUUGGGUGGGUGACCACCUGGGAACAUUGCGUGCCGU
rnacentral:rRNA from 1 species